rnacentral:rRNA from 1 species
CAUGUAGGCGGCUGUGCAAGUCGUGUGUUAAAGCCCCUGGCUCAACUGGGGGAGGUCAUGCGAGACUGCGCGGCUGGAGGACAGUAGAGGCACAUGGAACUCCCGGUGUAGCGGUGGAAUGCGUAGAGAUCGGGAAGAACACCCGUGGCGAAGGCGGUGUGCUGGGCUGUUUCUGACGCUGAGAUGCGAAAAGUGUGGGGAGCAAACG